UACGUAGGGUGCGAGCGUUAAUCGGAAUUACUGGGCGUAAAGCGUGCGCAGGCGGUUUUGUAAGCCAGAUGUGAAAGCCCCGGGCUUAACCUGGGAAUGGCAUUUGGGACUGCAAGGCUUGAGUGCGGCAGAGGAGACUGGAAUUCCUGGUGUAGCAGUGAAAUGCGUAGAUAUCUGGAGGAACACCGGUGGCGAAGGCGGCGUCCUGGACCAACACUGACACUGAUGAGCGAAAGCCAGGGGAGCAAACGGG
rnacentral:rRNA from 1 species